AAUAGGAGUGCGGAGCAACUCGGCGAGCAGUCGCGAAGGCAGUGUUGAGGGCUGUCUUGUUAUCGGUGCGACAAGGAGCCGGCAAGCUGUUUGGGGUCUUCAGACGUGCGUUUUCAGCAACCAUGACAAAGCUUCAAAUUAAAGUGGUGUAUUGCGGUGCCUGAGGCUACGCCCCCAAGUUCCGUAAGCUUAAAACGGAACUGGAAGCUGAAUUUCCAGACAAACUGGUUAUUCAUGGCGAAGCCACUCGUUCCGCUACAGGUUACUUUGAAAUAACUGUAGGAGAUCAACUGGUCCAUAGCAAGAAGAAUGGUGAUGGCUACGUUGAUUCAGAGAAGAAAGUCAAUAAGAUAAUUGACGCAAUCCAUGAUGCACUUGGUGACUAGUUGACCAACAGACAACCUGACUUGAUAUGCCUUUGUAGACCUCUUCAUGGCAGGGCUACCGAGUAUGAAGCAUUGUGCUGAAACCCCUCUGUUUGGAUGGCACCUUGUGGAGGAGAAGAGGAGCCCUUUCAAGGUUGCCAUGAAGAGGCCUGCCAGAGCACAUCAAGAAUUGGUUGUCUUCUUUUACCAACACCUUAUUCAGGGAUCUUAACUUUUAAUGCCUUUGGCUCAUCUUGCUUAAUAAAAUAUAAUCAAGA
rnacentral:lncRNA from 1 species